rnacentral:rRNA from 1 species
CCUACGGGAGGCAGCAGUGAGGGAUAUUGGUCAAUGGGGGAAACCCUGACCCAGCAACGCCGCGUGAGGGAAGACGGUUUUCGGAUUGUAAACCUCUGUCCUCUGUGAAGAUAAUUACGGUAGCAGAGGAAGAAUCUCCGGCUACCUACUGCCCAGCAGCCGCGGUACUACUUAGGGAGCAGGCGUUGUCCGGCUUUACUGGGUGGAAAGGGUGCUACGGCGGCCCUGCAAGUCAGAAGUGAAUUCCAUGGGCUUAACCCGGGAACUGCUUUUGAAAUUGUAGGGCUUGAGUGAAGUAGAGGUAGGCGGAAUUCCUGGUGUAGCGGUGAAAUGCGUAGAGAUCGGGAGGAACACCAGUGGCGAAGGCGGCCUGCUGGGCUGUAACUGACGCUGAAGCACGAAAGCGUGGGUAGCAAACAGGAUUAGAUACCCUAGUAGUC